rnacentral:rRNA from 1 species
UCAUGGCUCAGGACGAACGCUGGCGACGUGCGUAAUACAUGCAAGUCGUACGCUUCUUUUUCCACCGGAGCUUGCUCCUCCGGAAAAAAGAAGAGUGGCGACCGGGUGAGUAACACGUGGGUAACCUGCCCAUCAGAAGGGGAUAACACUUGGAAACAGGUGCUAAUACCGUAUAACAAUCGAAACCGCAUGGUUUUGAUUUGAAAGGCGCUUUCGGGUGUCGCUGAUGGAUGGACCCGCGGUGCAUUAGCUAGUUGGUGAGGUAACGGCUCACCAAGGCCACGAUGCAUAGCCGACCUGAGAGGGUGAUCGGCCACAUUGGGACUGAGACACGGCCCAAACUCCUACGGGAGGCAGCAGUAGGGAAUCUUCGGCAAUGGACGAAAGUCUGACCGAGCAACGCCGCGUGAGUGAAGAAGGUUUUCGGAUCGUAAAACUCUGUUGUUAGAGAAGAACAAGGAUGAGAGUAACUGUUCAUCCCUUGACGGUAUCUAACCAGAAAGCCACGGCUAACUACGUGCCAGCAGCCGCGGUAAUACGUAGGUGGCAAGCGUUGUCCGGAUUUAUUGGGCGUAAAGCGAGCGCAGGCGGUUUCUUAAGUCUGAUGUGAAAGCCCCCGGCUCAACCGGGGAGGGUCAUUGGAAACUGGGAGACUUGAGUGCAGAAGAGGAGAGUGGAAUUCCAUGUGUAGCGGUGAAAUGCGUAGAUAUAUGGAGGAACACCAGUGGCGAAGGCGGCUCUCUGGUCUGUAACUGACGCUGAGGCUCGAAAGCGUGGGGAGCAAACAGGAUUAGAUACCCUGGUAGUCCACGCCGUAAACGAUGAGUGCUAAGUGUUGGAGGGUUUCCGCCCUUCAGUGCUGCAGCUAACGCAUUAAGCACUCCGCCUGGGGAGUACGACCGCAAGGUUGAAACUCAAAGGAAUUGACGGGGGCCCGCACAAGCGGUGGAGCAUGUGGUUUAAUUCGAAGCAACGCGAAGAACCUUACCAGGUCUUGACAUCCUUUGACCACUCUAGAGAUAGAGCUUCCCCUUCGGGGGCAAAGUGACAGGUGGUGCAUGGUUGUCGUCAGCUCGUGUCGUGAGAUGUUGGGUUAAGUCCCGCAACGAGCGCAACCCUUAUUGUUAGUUGCCAUCAUUCAGUUGGGCACUCUAGCAAGACUGCCGGUGACAAACCGGAGGAAGGUGGGGAUGACGUCAAAUCAUCAUGCCCCUUAUGACCUGGGCUACACACGUGCUACAAUGGGAAGUACAACCAUUUGCGAAUUCAUCGAGGCUAAGCUAAU